AGAGAUGCAUUGGGCGUAAAGUGUGCGCAGGCGGUUUUGUAAGACAGAGGUGAAAUCCCCGGGCUCAACCUGGGAACUGCCUUAGUGACUGCAAGGCUGGAGUGCGGCAGAGGGGGAUGGAAUUCCGCGUGUAGCAGUGAAAUGCGUAGAUAUGCGGAGGAACACCGAUGGCGAAGGCAAUCCCCUGGGCCUGCACUGACGCUCAUGCACGAAAGCGUGGGGAGCAAACA
rnacentral:rRNA from 1 species